CAGUAGCCACGGUAAUACGAAGGGGGCUAGCGUUGCUCGGAAUCACUGGGCGUAAAGGGUGCGUAGGCGGGUCUUUAAGUCAGGGGUGAAAUCCUGGAGCUCAACUCCAGAACUGCAUUUGAUACUGAAGAUCUUGAGUUCGGGAGAGGUGAGUGGAGCUGCGAGUGUAGAGGUGAAAUUCGUAGAUAUUCGCAAGAACACCAGUGGCGAAGGCGGCUCACUGGCCCGAUACUGACGCUGAGGCACGAAAGCGUGGGGAGCAAACAGGAUUAGAUACCCCGGUAGUCCCUGUCUCUUAUAC
rnacentral:rRNA from 1 species